UAAGCACGAAACUUGCCCCGAGAUGAGUUCUCCCUGAGACUUUAAGUCUCCUGAAGGAACGUUGAAGACGACGACGUUGAUAGGCCGGGUGUGUAAGCGCAGCGAUGCGUUGAGCUAACCGGUACUAAUGAACCGUGAGGCUUAACCUU
rnacentral:rRNA from 1 species